UGCUUGGCGACCAUAGCGCUUUGGACCCACCUGACUCCAUGCCGAACUCAGUAGUGAAACGAAGCAGCGCCGAUGGUAGUGUGGGGUCUCCCCAUGUGAGAGUAGGACAUCGCCAGGC
rnacentral:rRNA from 1 species